CUCCCCGAGGGGCGCUGCGACCACCGGCGCGAGCCUCGACCGCCACGCGCGGUGGAGGCCGCGGGACACGCCACGUGUCCGAUCCGCUGGCCAGGCUCGGGGAUGUCCAUGCGACAACGGCGCCCGUGCAGG
rnacentral:ncRNA from 2 species